AACCAGCAGAUUUCUACCACACCUCCCAUCAAGAGGCAGUCCUUGCUGCUUUCUCUGCAGUGUCGGUGAAAAAAGACAUUAUGUUUACGUUCACUGAGAAGACAGUUCAUGAUCUGAGAUUUGGAAGCAGACAGGCCAUUGCCCACUCUAAUGAAGGACACAAUGGGGGUGGAGACACAACACAUCUGCUGACACUUAUGACUGUUCUUUCCAUGUGGUGAUUUCUUUUCUUGCUGCCAACUUCUCCUAACUUUUCUGAGAGACCAGAGAGAGAAUUCAAUUUGAGAAGUGCAAGGAUUUGGCACCAGGAGAGGCAGGGCAAAUUGACAAGUAGAAAGUUUGGUCAAAAUAUAUUGUCUGGCAAAAUCAUCUGCACAGUGAAAAAUGGUCAUCUGGAUAUCCAUGGGGUGAAUGUGGGGCCUUGACUCAGUAGUCAAAGGAUC
rnacentral:lncRNA from 1 species